UGGGAGAUAUUGCACAAUGGGCGCAAGCCUGAUGCAGCCAUGCCGCGUGUAUGAAGAAGGCCUUCGGGUUGUAAAGUACUUUCAGCGAGGAGGAAGGCAUUAAGGUUAAUAACCUUAGUGAUUGACGUUACUCGCAGAAGAAGCACCGGCUAACUCCGUGCCAGCAGCCGCGGUAAUACGGAGGGUGCAAGCGUUAAUCGGAAUUACUGGGCGUAAAGCGCACGCAGGCGGUCUGUUAAGUCAGAUGUGAAAUCCCGCC
rnacentral:rRNA from 1 species